CAGAACUAGAGGCUGGUCGCUCCGCCCUUGUGCUCCAGCUGCUGAGCCGACUAGAGUUUGGGUUUCGCGGCACCCCUUAAUCUACUCAGAUCGCGGCCUCUGGGCCCAGGUAUGUGCUGUGUGCGAAGUCUCUUCAGUAGUGUCCGACUCUGCGACCCCCAUGGCUCCUCUGUCCAUGGAAUUUUCCAGGCGAAUUCACCACUGGUCCACAUGGGAAUCCAGUGCAAGCGGCUGAAUGGUUGCAGCCCUGAGGAUUUCCCAGGAGGUGUACACUACUUGUGGUUGCCAUUCCAGAUAACAGGUACAUUGCUCCAAUGUGCCCACGCGGCCUGGGCCCUGUGCCUACACCGCUGUAGAAGAACUGGAAGUGGGAAGACUAGUACCCACCAUUUCAGUGGCCAGAUGUGUACGGGUUGAGAGCGUCAACCAGUUAGUUCCAGAAACCUGGCUGAACCACUAAAAAUAACUGGGGAUCCGCAGCAGUUGGUUUGCCUGAUUCACUGUCUGUUAUAUGGGUAUGAUGGGGGUACCCCCAGAAAGGGCUGUUGAAGUUUAAUCAUUAAAUGAAUUCACAGAUUGGCA